GCCUUGCUCUGCAACAACCAUCAGAAGACCUCUGUUAGUUUUAAUAAUGAAUAUUACAGCCUCAUAAGAAACUAUUCCUGGAGAUGCACGUACAUCCUAUAAUCUAUCUUUUUCAGGAAACAAAGUUCACCUCAUUUAUCAACAAACAUAAAUUCAGCAUACCUUCUACUUAAGUGUCAGAUAUUACUGAAUCCCAUGAAGAAACAACAUAAGAUCCUUACUUUUAAAAUGGUCAUGCUGAGCAAGGAAAAUUAUCAAAUGAACACUUACCACAAAAUUGCUCAAUAUGGUGUUUCAGAAUUCAGGAUAUUUUCAGAAACAGAUUAUACAACCAACUUUGCUCUCAUCAAAAUAGAAUAGAAGAAAAUAUUGAAAACAAAGUACUGCUAUUGCUUGGACUUUUUUUUAUGGAUCCAGGGUGUGUGAAGACUCAAGAAGGAGAGAAGAAAGGAUUUGGAGGGUUAUCAGACCAUACAACCCUGAUGAUACCUCUUGAUAAAACAAAAAUUAGCCAUAUGUUAAACAAACACAGAAUAAAAUCUAGAUGUUAUCAGAAUACUUUCUACUUUUUAUGAUAAAAUUGGGUAUAGGGAGAGUGGGGACAGAGUUCUGACUCUUGAGUGAUACAUCUGUAUUCUCCAGGAGACUGCAAGGUCCUUGAAGGCAGAAACUGUGUCUUUUUUUCUCAUUGUGGCAUACCCAGCACCUAGCACAUGGUAGUACACAAGCAUUUUAAUAAAUGAGUAAAAUAAGUUGUCUUCUGCAUCCUCAAAGCAGUAAAAUUUUUUGGAUGUCAAGAAAGGGGAAAGGAUGGUUAUUCCCACAGAGCUGUGUCUGGAGAGCCUGGGACCUGGGGGAAAUUAUACCACUACCUCAUCUCACACAAGGAGCUAGAAGUAUUUGUCUGGCUUGGCCAUAGAACCCAGGGCCUGAGAACAGCCGGGCUAGGUGUCAACUGGUCCUUACAGGUCCUUAAAACAAGAGGACAUGAGGGGAAUAAGCAGGUUGGUGACUGCUCUGUACACAAUGGACUGUGUUGUGAAUGACAAGGCAGAGUAAUUUUUUUUUUAAGUGUACAGUUCAUUGGCUUUUAGUAUAUUCUAAAAGUUACACAAUUAUCACCUCUAUGUGAUUCCAGAGCAUUUUCACCAUCCCCAAAAGAAAUGCGUGGUUUUCUCCUGACAUUUUUGACACCAACUAUGCGGAGUUUUCUCCAUACCAACAAUAAAUUCUCCAACACCAACUGGGUGUCCAACAAUCAAUUCAAUUCUGACACAAACCCUCGGAGUUAGUGCAGACCCCACAGGUUAUGAGCCCAGUCGCACAAGACCAUCUCUAUGUCAGAUGCUGGCUGCAAACUGGGUGCUCAGCCUAUCUACAGUUCUUUCUAGCCAACUACAAAUUCAGAGGUUCCCACAACCUAUCACAUUCAAUAAUUCACUAAAAUGGUUAACAGAAAUAAAAAAAAAAUUACAUUUUCUGGUUUAUUAUAAAGGAUACAAUUCAGAAACUGCCAAA